GGUGGCUCAGUGGUAGAGCACUUGCAUCACAUGCAAGAGGUCCUGGGUUCAAUUCCUCAGCACCA
rnacentral:tRNA from 1 species